UGCAGUAGAACGCUGAAGAGAGGAGCUUGCUCUUCUUGGAUGAGUUGCGAACGGGUGAGUAACGCGUAGGUAACCUGCCUUGUAGCGGGGGAUAACUAUUGGAAACGAUAGCUAAUACCGCAUAACAAUGGAUGACACAUGUCAUUUAUUUGAAAGGGGCAAUUGCUCCACUACAAGAUGGACCUGCGUUGUAUUAGCUAGUAGGUGAGGUAAUGGCUCACCUAGGCGACGAUACAUAGCCGACCUGAGAGGGUGAUCGGCCACACUGGGACUGAGACACGGCCCAGACUCCUACGGGAGGCAGCAGUAGGGAAUCUUCGGCAAUGGGGGCAACCCUGACCGAGCAACGCCGCGUGAGUGAAGAAGGUUUUCGGAUCGUAAAGCUCUGUUGUAAGUCAAGAACGGGUGUGAGAGUGGAAAGUUCACACUGUGACGGUAGCUUACCAGAAAGGGACGGCUAACUACGUGCCAGCAGCCGCGGUAAUACGUAGGUCCCGAGCGUUGUCCGGAUUUAUUGGGCGUAAAGCGAGCGCAGGCGGUUUGAUAAGUCUGAAGUUAAAGGCUGUGGCUCAACCAUAGUUCGCUUUGGAAACUGUCAAACUUGAGUGCAGAAGGGGAGAGUGGAAUUCCAUGUGUAGCGGUGAAAUGCGUAGAUAUAUGGAGGAACACCGGUGGCGAAAGCGGCUCUCUGGUCUGUAACUGACGCUGAGGCUCGAAAGCGUGGGGAGCGAACAGGAUUAGAUACCCUGGUAGUCCACGCCGUAAACGAUGAGUGCUAGGUGUUGGAUCCUUUCCGGGAUUCAGUGCCGCAGCUAACGCAUUAAGCACUCCGCCUGGGGAGUACGACCGCAAGGUUGAAACUCAAAGGAAUUGACGGGGGCCCGCACAAGCGGUGGAGCAUGUGGUUUAAUUCGAAGCAACGCGAAGAACCUUACCAGGUCUUGACAUCCCGAUGCUAUUUCUAGAGAUAGAAAGUUACUUCGGUACAUCGGUGACAGGUGGUGCAUGGUUGUCGUCAGCUCGUGUCGUGAGAUGUUGGGUUAAGUCCCGCAACGAGCGCAACCCCUAUUGUUAGUUGCCAUCAUUCAGUUGGGCACUCUAGCGAGACUGCCGGUAAUAAACCGGAGGAAGGUGGGGAUGACGUCAAAUCAUCAUGCCCCUUAUGACCUGGGCUACACACGUGCUACAAUGGUUGGUACAACGAGUUGCGAGUCGGUGACGGCGAGCUAAUCUCUUAAAGCCAAUCUCAGUUCGGAUUGUAGGCUGCAACUCGCCUACAUGAAGUCGGAAUCGCUAGUAAUCGCGGAUCAGCACGCCGCGGUGAAUACGUUCCCGGGCCUUGUACACACCGCCCGUCACACCACGAGAGUUUGUAACACCCGAAGUCGGUGAGGUAACCUUUUGGAGCCAGCCGCCUAAGGUGAAC
rnacentral:rRNA from 1 species